GACGAACGCUGGCGGCGUGCUUAACACAUGCAAGUGGAGCGACGAACCAGGCUUCGGCCUGGGGCAAAGCCGCGAACGGGUGAGUAACACGUGGGUAACCUGCCCCGAUGACCGGGACAACCCGAGGAAACUCGGGCUAAUACCGGAUGUGGUCACCUCACAUAAGUGAGAUGACUAAAGAUAGCUUCGGCCUUCGCAUCGGGAUGGGCCCGCGGCGCAUUAGCUUGUUGGGGGGUAACGGCCUACCAAGGCGACGAUGCGUAGCUGGUCUGAGAGGACGAUCAGCCACACUGGGACUGAGACACGGCCCAGACUCCUACGGGAGGCAGCAGUGGGGAAUCUUGCGCAAUGCGCGAAAGCGUGACGCAGCAACGCCGCGUGGGGGAAGACGGCCUUCGGUUCGUAACCC
rnacentral:rRNA from 1 species